rnacentral:lncRNA from 1 species
GAAGAAGGAAUGGAUCGAGGAAGAGAGCAAGGGAGGAAGGGAGGGAAGCAAAACAUAUAACCGACAAAGAUGAGAGAACAGGCAGAGGCAGCAGUAGAGGAUGGAAAUACAAAAAAUUAACCGGGCGUGGUGGUGGGCAGCUGUAAUCCCAGCUACUCAGGAGUCUGAGACAGGAGAAUGGCUUGAACCUGGGAGGCGAAGGUUGCAGUGAGCCAAGAUUGCACCAUUGCACUCCAGCCUGGGCAACAAGAGUGAAACUCUGUCUCAUAAAUAAAUAACC